AGAGUUUGAUUAUGGCUCAGGAUGAACGCUGGCGGCGUGCCUAACACAUGCAAGUCGAACGGAACUGAUACAGCCGAGAUUCGUCGAAGCAGUUGAAAGUUUAGUGGCGGACGGGUGAGUAACGCGUGGGUAACCUGCCUCGUAAGGGGGAUAACAGUUGGAAACGAUUGCUAUACCGAUAAGCCCACAGUACCGAUGGUACAGGGGAAAAGAUCCAUUGUCUAAGAGAUGGCCUCGCGUCCGAUUAGAUAGUUGGUGAGUGUAACGGCCCACCAAGUCGACGAUCGGUAGCCGGACUGAGAGGUUGAACCGGCCACAUUGGGACUGAGACACGGCCCAGACUCCUACGGGAGGCAGCAGUGGGGAAUAUUGCCACAAAUUGGAGGAAACUCCUGAUGCAGCGAUGCCGCGUGAGGUUGAAAGAAGGUUUUUUCGGAUUGUAAACCUCUGUUGGCAGGGACGAUAAUGACGGUACCUGCCAAGAAAGCUCCGGCUAACUACGUGCCAGCAGCCGCGGUAAUACGUAGGGAGCGAGCGUUAUCCGGAAUUACUGGGUGUAAAGGGAGCGUAGGCGGGACAGCAAGUCAGAUGUGAAAAUUAUGGGCUCAACCCAUAACCUGCAUUUGAAACUGUUGUUCUUGAGUGAAGUAGAAGUAAGCGGAAUUCCCGGUGUAGCGGUGAAAUGCGUAGAGAUCGGGAGGAACAUCAGUGGCGAAGGCGGCUUACCGGGCUUUUACUGACGCUGAGGCUCGAAAGCGUGGGGAGCAAACAGGAUUAGAUACCCUGGUAGUCCACGCCGUAAACGAUGAUUACUAGGUGUGGGGGGAUAGAACCUUCCGUGCCGCAGCUAACGCAAUAAGUAAUCCACCUGGGGAGUACGGCCGCAAGGCUGAAACUCAAAGGAAUUGACGGGGACCCGCACAAGCGGUGGAGCAUGUGGAUUUAAUUCGAAGCAACGCGAAGAACCUUACCAGGUCUUGACAUGCCGAUGACCGGUCAGUAACGUGACCUUCACUUCGGUGCAUCGGACACAGGUGGUGCAUGGUUGUCGUCAGCUCGUGUCGUGAGAUGUUGGGUUAAGUCCCGCAACGAGCGCAACCCUUGUCGCUAGUAACCAGCAGUAAGAUGGGGACUCUAGUGAGACUGCCCGGGACAACCGGGAGGAAGGCGGGGAUGACGUCAAAUCAUCAUGCCCCUUAUGACCUGGGCUACACACGUGCUACAAUGGCGUAAACAGAGGGAAGCAAUACUGCAAAGUGGAGCAAAACCGAUAAAAUACGUCUCAGUUCGGACUGUGGCCUGCAACCCGGCCACACGAAGCCGGAAUCGCUAGUAAUCGCAGAUCAGCAUGCUGCGGUGAAUACGUUCCCGGGUCUUGUACACACCGCCCGUCACACCAU
rnacentral:rRNA from 1 species